rnacentral:rRNA from 1 species
AUACGUAGGUGACAAGCGUUAUCCGGAUUUACUGGGCGUAAAGGGCGUGUAGGCGGUCUUGCAAGUCAGAAGUGAAAUUCCUGAGCUCAACUCGGGCGCUGCUUCUGAAACUGCAGGACUUGAGUGCUGGAGGGGAUAGCGGAAUUCCUAGUGGAGCGGUGAAAUGCGCAGAUAUUAGGAAGAACACCGGUGGCGAAGGCGGGUUUCUGGACAGUUAAUUGCGCUGAGGCGCGAAAGCGUGGGGAACAAACAGGAUUAGUUACCCUGUUAGUCCACGCCGUAAACGAUGAAUACUAGGUGUAGGGGGUAUCGACUCCCUCUGUGCCGCAGUUAACACAAUAAGUAUUCCGCCUGGGGAGUACGGCCGCAAGGUUGAAACUCAAAUGAAUUGACGGGG